AGUGAACGCUGGCGGUAGGCCUAACACAUGCAAGUCGAACGGCAGCACAGUAAGAGCUUGCUCUUACGGGUGGCGAGUGGCGGACGGGUGAGGAAUACAUCGGAAUCUACUUUUUCGUGGGGGAUAACGUAGGGAAACUUACGCUAAUACCGCAUACGACCUACGGGUGAAAGCAGGGGAUCUUCGGACCUUGCGCGAUUGAAUGAGCCGAUGUCGGAUUAGCUAGUUGGCGGGGUAAAGGCCCACCAAGGCGACGAUCCGUAGCUGGUCUGAGAGGAUGAUCAGCCACACUGGAACUGAGACACGGUCCAGACUCCUACGGGAGGCAGCAGUGGGGAAUAUUGGACAAUGGGCGCAAGCCUGAUCCAGCCAUACCGCGUGGGUGAAGAAUGCCUUCGGGUUGUAAAGCCCUUUUGUUGGGAAAGAAAAGCAGCAGGUUAAUACCCCGCUGUUCUGACGGUACCCAAAGAAUAAGCACCGGCUAACUUCGUG
rnacentral:rRNA from 1 species